rnacentral:misc_RNA from 1 species
GUGAAUAUAGGGUGACUCUGUAAAGAGAACCCCGGUUUCCACUUAUUAUCAUACACUGUGCACUAAACCUUUUUUAACUUACGUUGAAAACACUUGUGUCAAAUUAUGUUUGUGAAUGUACAAUCAUGUUAAAAUGAAAGUA